GAUGAACGCUGGCGGCGUGCUUAACACAUGCAAGUCGAACGAGAAAUGGAGACGGAAACCUUCGGGCGGAAGGCUUCAUUUCGAGUGGCGGACGGGUGAGUAACGCGUGGGUAACCUGCCUCAUACAGGGGGAUAACAGUUGGAAACGACUGUUAAUACCGCAUAAGACCACAUCACCGCAUGGUGCGGGGGUAAAAACUCCGGUGGUAUGAGAUGGACCCGCGUUCGAUUAGCCAGUUGGCGGGGUAACGGCCCACCAAAGCGACGAUCGAUAGCCGAUCUGAGAGGAUGACCGGCCACAUUGGGACUGAGACACGGCCCAAACUCCUACGGGAGGCAGCAGUGGGGAAUAUUGCACAAUGGGGGAAACCCUGAUGCAGCGACGCCGCGUGAGUGAAGAAGUACUUCGGUAUGUAAAGCUCUAUCAUCAGGGAAGAAAAUGACGGUACCUGAGUAAGAAGCCCCGGCUAACUACGUG
rnacentral:rRNA from 1 species